rnacentral:lncRNA from 1 species
GAAAUAAAGCAGGAGCCAAACAGUGAUGAAGGGGCAGGCUGUGUGAACUGUCCAAUCAGGUAGGCCAAGGUAGGAGGGUUCUUCCGGUGUCAUGGCGCCAAAGUGCCUGUCCUGAACACAAUGCUUGCAUUUCCGCCUUCUGUUGUUUCUACUGCCUGCGGUCUGUAUAGGGAAGACCCAGGAAGACCCUCAAUCCUCGCAAUGAUGAAUCACAUCUUCAAGAUGAAGGCAAACUGGAGGCUACAGCGAAAGAGGAAUCAAUCUCCUUUGGAGCUUUCUCAGCAGCAGUCUUCCCAUAGGUGGCCUCCAGCUGGAGAGAACACCAACAGAGUGAGUGUGAACAGUGCAAAGCUGGAGAGUGCUGAAGGCUAG